UCUGGUGACUCGUGCGGUUGGGAAACACCUCUUCCCAUCUCGAACAGAGCCGUUAAGCCAACCAGCGCCGAUGGUACCCGUUAAUUCAGGGAGAGUAGGUCGUCGCCAGAA
rnacentral:rRNA from 2 species